ACCAGCCAAACCUAAAUUUAAUAGACAGGGUUGUUUCUGUGAGUUUUGUUUGCUCCAAGUUGGUUUGUGGGGACAAGCCAAAUAGAAAUGAAAUAUCCAUUGUUGAUAAAAAUAAAACAUUUAUCUAAAAAUGGAGGCAAAUAGAAAACUCAAAGAAAGGUUAUAUUUCAAGUGACUAAACUAUCAGACCAAGUCACACUGUCCCAUGCUGUGAUCAGCAAGAAGAUAAGGUCUUCACCAUCUGUUCUCUGGGGGUCUUGAGUUUAAAUCUCAAUGGGAGACUACUGCAGGAUGCCAGGGGAAAGGAAAAGGUAAUUUGGAAAUUUUGCAUUUUUUAUGCCAAAGCAAUAAGGAUUCUUACAUAUAUUUAUUUAUAAGAACAGAUAGCAUUCCAUCCCAACACUAAUAUUAAACAGGCUACGAUUUAAUAAAAUAUGGAGAUCCAUUUCAGCUUACACUGUAUGUUUCAAUUUUCACUUACAAUGUCUGGGAUAUACCAUGUACACACAAAAUAGGUAUCAACAAUUAUACUUAACACUGUUUAGUUUGUCUAACCAUAAUGCUGUUGGAUUAACAGUGUUCUAAUUGGAAUUGGCUGAUCAACUUUAAAAGUAUUUUAAACUUCAUCAAAUGUGAUCCUAUAUUUUUUCCUCAUGUCUGAUGAUGGGAGGAGAGUUCACAAUCAGGUUGAAGUCACUUUAGUACUAAAGCAAAGCAAACACACUUUUAGAUGUGAUGUGAAAUAACCUCAGAGAUGCUGGCAUCUGGUGCUAUCUAGACUAUAAUACAGCAGAGUGAUGUGGUUGCAGUGGUUUUUACAGGUACUCGAGAGGAGAGAGUGCAUACAUCAGGUUCUUUGCAUCAUGUCUAUUUUAGUUUUCUAUUAUUUCUCCUGGUUUCCUGGGGAGACAGCAUUUAUGUCUCAAAAAAAAUCUUCAAUACUGAAAGCAUUUAUGGAAAGCAUAAAUAACAUUUUCUUUCUCAAAACAAUAAAUGCCCUCAAAAUGCAAAAGCCUACUCCUCUUUUCCUCUUCUUUCACAACUCACAUCCCUCUCCUACCUCCAUGCUACAAGUAGUCAUUUCAUAACAAAUAAAAUGAUUGUGUCUAGACAACUAUGUUGGAUGUUUAAAGAAAGUGUUUAUUGUCUGUACCACCCAGCACAUCAUGCAGUCCCUUAUACAAAGACCCUAAAGGAAAGGUCUAAUCUUUCCUUUGUCCUGAACACUGCAACCAAAACAACCUUAGUUUGGUAGUUCCUUGGUCAAAGCCUUAUUUCUGCACUGCCUACUAUAUUUAGUACAUUCCUCCAUAUCUGCGGGGGAUUGGUUUCAGGCCCCCUCCUUGGAUACCUAGGCUUUCAUAUAAUAUGUAUUUGCAUAGAACCUACACACAUUCUCUCGUAUACUUUAAAUCAUCUCUAG
rnacentral:lncRNA from 1 species